rnacentral:rRNA from 1 species
UACGGGGGGGGGCAAGCGUUGUUCGGAAUUACUGGGCGUAAAGGCGUGUAGGUGGCCAACUAAGUCAGACGUGAAAUCCCUCGGCUUAACCGGGGAACUGCGUCUGAUACUGGAUGGCUUGAGUGUGGGAGAGGGAUGCGGAAUUCCAGGUGUAGCGGUGAAAUGCGUAGAUAUCUGGAGGAACACCGGUGGCGAAGGCGGCAUCCUGGACCAUUACUGACACUGAAACGCGAAAGCCAGGGGAGCAAACGGG